GACCCCAGGUCAGACGGGAUUA
rnacentral:rRNA from 24 species